CCUACGGGAGGCUGCAGUGGGGAAUAUUGGACAAUGGGCGAAAGCCUGAUCCAGCCAUGCCGCGUGUGUGAAGAAGGCCUUCGGGUUGUAAAGCACUUUCAGUGGGGAAGAAAGCCUUGGGGCUAAUACCCUCGAGGAAGGACAUCACCCACAGAAGAAGCACCGGCUAACUCCGUGCCAGCAGCCGCGGUAAUACGGAGGGUGCGAGCGUUAAUCGGAAUUACUGGGCGUAAAGCGCGCGUAGGCGGUCUGAUAAGCCGGUUGUGAAAGCCCCGGGCUCAACCUGGGAACGGCAUCCGGAACUGUCAGGCUAGAGUGCAGGAGAGGAAGGUAGAAUUCCCGGUGUAGCGGUGAAAUGCGUAGAGAUCGGGAGGAAUACCAGUGGCGAAGGCGGCUUUCUGGACUGACACUGACGCUGAGGUGCGAAAGCGUGGGUAGCAAACAGGAUUAGAUACCCCGGGUAGUC
rnacentral:rRNA from 1 species